GACGAACGCUGGCGGCGUGCUUAACACAUGCAAGUCGAACGGAAAGACCCUGCUUUUGUUGGUUUCUCGAUUGGCGCACGCGUGUGUAACACGUGAGUAACCUCCCCUUGACUUUCUGAUAACUUCACGAAACUGCGGCUCAUACCGGAUAUGAUCUCCUGCUGCAUGUUGUUGGUUGGAAAGUUUCGGCGGUUGUGGAUGGACUCGCGGCUUAUCAGCUUGUUGGUGGGGUAGUGGCUUACCAAGUCUUUGACGGGUAGCCGGCAUGAGAGGGUGACCGGCGACAAGGGGACUGAGGGACGGAGCAGAAGGCAAAGGGAGGCAGCAGUGGGGAGUAUGGCAGAAUGGGGGGAAGCGUGAGGCAGAAACGUCGGGUGCGGGAUGACGGGCUUCGGGGUGUAAACAGAUGUGGAAGGAGACGAAGCGGGAGUGACGGUAAUGGGUAAAGAAGCAACGGCUAACUACGUG
rnacentral:rRNA from 1 species